rnacentral:rRNA from 1 species
UACGGAGGGUGCGAGCGUUGUCCGGAUUCAUUGGGCGUAAAGGGCGCGUAGGCGGCGGGGUAAGUCGGGUGUGAAAUCUCAGAGCUCAACUCUGAAACUGCACUCGAUACUGCUCUGCUUGAGGACUGGAGAGGAGACUGGAAUUCACGGUGUAGCAGUGAAAUGCGUAGAUAUCGUGAGGAAGACCAGUGGCGAAGGCGGGUCUCUGGACAGUUCCUGACGCUGAAGCGCGAAGGCCAGGGGAGCAAAGCGGGG